GACGAACGCUGGCGGCGUGCCUAAUACAUGCAAGUCGAACGAAACUUUCUUACGCCGAAUGCUUGCAUUCACCGUAAGAAGUUGAGUGGCGGACGGGUGAGUAACACGUGGGUAACCUGCCUAAAAGAAGGGGAUAACACUUGGAAACAGGUGCUAAUACCGUAUAUCUCUAAGGAUCGCAUGAUCCUUAGAUGAAAGAUGGUUCUGCUAUCGCUUUUAGAUGGACCCGCGGCGUAUUAACUAGUUGGUGGGGUAACGGCCUACCAAGGUGAUGAUACGUAGCCGAACUGAGAGGUUGAUCGGCCACAUUGGGACUGAGACACGGCCCAAACUCCUACGGGAGGCAGCAGUAGGGAAUCUUCCACAAUGGACGCAAGUCUGAUGGAGCAACGCCGCGUGAGUGAAGAAGGUCUUCGGAUUGUAAAACUCUGUUGUUAGAGAAGAACACGAGUGAGAGUAACUGUUCAUUCGAUGACGGUAUCUAACCAGCAAGUCACGGCUAUCUACGUG
rnacentral:rRNA from 1 species